UACGUAGGGGGCGAGCGUUGUCCGGAAUGACUGGGCGUAAAGGGAGUGUAGGCGGCUAUGUAGGUUAGAUGUGAAAUCCCACGGCUCAACCGUGGAACUGCAUCUAAAACUGUGUAGCUGGAGUGCAGGAGAGGUGAGUGGAAUUCCUAGUGUAGCGGUGGAAUGCGUAGAUAUUAGGAGGAACACCGGAGGCGAAGGCGGCUCACUGGACUGUAACUGACGCUGAGGCUCGAAAGCGUGGGGAGCAAACA
rnacentral:rRNA from 1 species